ensembl:lncRNA
GAUAAGUAGUAGUAGAUAAUGUUAUUUUUACGUUAAACAAACUAGCCAUGAUUCCAGUUAAUGAAUCAGCGUUACAGUAGACACAGUCAUAGAAAUAAUUUUUCAUUGUUGUGUGUUUUUUUGUUGUUUAGCCCCACCUGUUUCCGUAUCUCGGCCUCUUCAUAAGGGAUAUCGGCUGCUUCACAUUCAGAUCAUUUCAAUUUGUUAACUGCGCUCUCACACACAGAAUAUUUCACCUCCACAUCCAACACUGACGUUGCGUUUGUUCCAGAUGGAGAUCUCCAGGAUGCGGUCCGCCUGGGCGGCUCUCUGCACCGCCGUGCUAGUGAUGUCAGGCUCUGCUGAAGGUGCUAGUUUGGUGACGUUAAAAGCGGCGAACACAGAACCGUCAUACUCUUAUGACUUAACCAUGGACGUCACCAACCGCAUCUACAGUGAUUCUCUCCUCAACCCUAACUCUCACGACUAUAAUAUGAUGUUUGGGCAAGUUAGCAGUGCGCUCUACUCUGUCUACGGCUGCCCCACUUGCGGGACACGCACAUUUUAUCAAGGUGUAACAGCCAUGACCUUCAGUAACAAGGCUGGAUCUGUGGUUGUUCAGGCCACCAUCAUGUUCAGCUCAAGGCACACCAAUGCUGUGGUUAUUAAAUUCCUAUUUCUGUCAGCCAUCAGUGACAAAAAUGAAAUAAAUGGCCUGAAAAUCAACCCUGACUUCAUACAGGUCAUACAAGGAUCAGCUCCUGCACCGAUGAGCACUUCCCAUCCAACCACUACUCCUAGCCCUACUCCUACCACUACUACUCCAACUCCUACUACUUCUACCACUACUCCUAGCCCUACUCCUACCACUACUACUCCAACUCCUACUACUACAACUAUUUGUGGCACGAUUCCUCCAAGGACUCCUAACACUACUCCAAACACUACUACUCCAACUCCUACUACUACUACAACUAUUUGUGACACGAUUCCUCCAAGUACUCCUAACACUACUCCAAACACUACUACUUCCAACUCCUCCUACUACUACAACUAUUUGUGACACGAUUCCUCCAAGUACUCCUACCACUACUCCAAACACUACUACUCCAACUCCUCCUACUACUACAACUAUUUGUGACACGAUUCCUCCAAGUACUCCUAACACUACUCCAAACACUACUACUCCAACUCCUCCUACUACUACAACUAUUGUGACACGAUUCCUCCAAGUACUCCUAACACUACUCCAACCACUACUACUCCAACUCCUACUACUACUAUAACUAUUUGUGACACGAUUCCUCCAAGUACUCCUAACACUACUCCAACCACUACUACUCCAACUCCUACUACUACUAUAACUAUUUGUGACACGAUUCCUCCAAGUACUCCUAACACUACUCCAACCACUACUACUCCAACUCCUACUACUACUAUAACUAUUUGUGACACGAUUCCUCCAAGUACUCCUACCACUACUCCUAGCCCUACUAUAACCACUGCUCCUUCAACUACUCCUACAAGUAUUCUAACCACUACUCCUCCAAUUACUCCUCCAACUGCUUCUGAAAUUGGAUUUACACCUAUUCCAACCACUACUCCUAUAACUUUUCCAUCCACUGCACCUUCAGUUACUCCUACCACCAGUCCUCCAAUUAGUUCUACCACCAAUCCAAUCAUCCCUAUACAAUACGAUGCAACAAGUUCAGCUACUCCUCCUCCAAUUCCACCUACCACUACUCAAACAACUACUACUCCAGUUACUCCCUUCACUUCUCCUACAACUACCCCUACAACCAUAAUAUCUACUACUACUUCAUUUACUCCUAACACUACUCUUCCAACUAUUUCUACAACUAGUCAAACCACUACUACUAUUACACUCACCACUACUCCUGGAACUAUUACAACCACUGUUCCAAUUUCUUCUAUCCCACUCCCCGACCCACAACCCCAAGCAAUCCCUGUCCCACAACCCGAACCAGUCCCUGAACCAUUGCCGGACCCAUUUCCCCUACCAAUUGAUGAACCACUGCCACUAAUCCUUCCAGAUGCCGAACAGCAGAAACACUGACAUGGCACUGGAAUCUUAUUGGGUGUUGCGUCAGUGGUGGUGUUAGUGUGUUUAAACAAUGGGUACAAUUACUGGCCUACACACCUAACCUGUUGAUUCUCCUUGAAGCCAUACACUUCAUCUACAAACUUAAAUAAAACUUCAUUUCUCCAUGCAGCAGCAAUAUCUAUUCUUCCCACAACUUAAUGCCAAUGGCAGAAAUGAAAUAAAAGGCCUGAAAAUCAACCAUGAAUUAACACAGAUUAAGAAUAAACACUGUCCUAUCUAUAAUGAAAGGUAUAACAUAAAUAGUCAUACUAAAAAUACUAACCCUGAGCUCUUCUCAGAAUCAUACCAGGAACAGCUCCUGUACUGAUGAAUAUCUCCAGGACUUCCCAUCCAACCCCUACUCAAUCCAGUACGGUACUCCCAUCUCUACUCCGACCCCUUAUCCAUUAACUUGUGAACCCUUUCUUUCAGCCACUAGUCCUAUACUUCAGAUAAUUAAUUAUCAUGUCUUCGCACUAUGACUACUCCAAUCACUGCUCCUACCACCACUCCUACGCCUACUUCUACUACUACUCCUAGUACCCCCUUAAAAGGUGUUGUUAAUGUUGCUAAAGAACAAGUCCUUUUUAUUCACACCCCCUGUGUUCAAAUACCAUCUGCAUCACCAGCCAUUGGCAUAAUCCUUGGGAAGGAGGACGUCCACCAAAAGAUGCUCCAUGUUAUUUGUUUGCCAGUGUUACGUGCAGUGAUAGGAGGCAGGACGCACAAGUGUGUAAAACUUACUGUGUGCUUUAUUAAGGAGAAUCAUUGUCAGAGAUCCAAGUGGGUGUCAGAGCACAGGCAGCAAACUAGAACGAUCCGUUAAUCGUUAGAUUAAAACUGUGAAAUAAUGCACACAGACCAGGAACUAGAAAACAAGGCUUGGAUUUUUGUUAGAAAUGCAUGAUAAGGCUUUGCAACGAAACAAUGAAAUAGCAGGCUAUACAUAGGUAAAUGAAUGAAGGACUAGACAGAACAGGUGCACACAUUGGGUAACAGGCCAAUGACAGGACGGGGUGGAUACAGGAUUGAAACAGAAACAAAAGCACAAAGUAAAUAUGGUAGAAAUGGGAUUUGACUUUUUCUCCAGUCUCUUAUUAAUAGCCUACCAGUAAACCUCCAACAAAUACUGUACCUCUCCCCUAAAAUACAAUACAUGUACAAAGGCUGGAUUUCAGUUAUCGCUCACUAGUGUUGGGUAAACCAUCAAGUUUUGUCAGCGGAAGGAUGUGUUUUUACAGCAUGUGAGUGAAACAGCCAUCAUAGUACGGCACUCAUGUCUCCAUCUGUAAAAUACACUGGUAAGAGAAUAUCAGAACUUUUGUUUUAGUCAGAAAAGAUUAAAAUCGCUAAUAAUACAUCUGGAGAUCAUGUGUUUGUUACAUUGUUCAUGAGUUGCUCUUUAACAAACUUUUAACCGCAUUCAUCGCUCUUAUUUCCUAUAUGAUAUGGGAACAUAUGUUUUAAACCCGCCUUCACAAUAUUUUACAGUAUCCUACAUCCCCUAUUCAGUAUCCCCUCAGAAAAGCACAUCUCUGUCAAGGUUCUUUUCUCGUUUCUGUUUUCUUAUCCAUUACUGUCAUUGUCACUUAAUCAUUAGAGGAAUGGAUGCUUUCCAUUUCUUUAGAGCUGAUUUGUCUACAUUGUCUCAGUGCGUGUUGUUGUAAACAGCACAAAACAAAUAAAAUGGAGUUUUACAGGA